rnacentral:rRNA from 1 species
CAGGAACGCUGGCGGCGUGCCUAAUACAUGCAAGUCGAACGAACUCUGGUAUUGAUUGGUGCUUGCAUCAUGAUUUACAUUUGAGUGAGUGGCGAACUGGUGAGUAACACGUGGGAAACCUGCCCAGAAGCGGGGGAUAACACCUGGAAACAGAUGCUAAUACCGCAUAACAACUUGGACCGCAUGGUCCGAGUUUGAAAGAUGGCUUCGGCUAUCACUUUUGGAUGGUCCCGCGGCGUAUUAGCUAGAUGGUGGGGUAACGGCUCACCAUGGCAAUGAUACGUAGCCGACCUGAGAGGGUAAUCGGCCACAUUGGGACUGAGACACGGCCCAAACUCCUACGGGAGGCAGCAGUAGGGAAUCUUCCACAAUGGACGAAAGUCUGAUGGAGCAACGCCGCGUGAGUGAAGAAGGGUUUCGGCUCGUAAAACUCUGUUGUUAAAGAAGAACAUAUCUGAGAGUAACUGUUCAGGUAUUGACGGUAUUUAACCAGAAAGCCACGGCUAACUACGUGCCAGCAGCCGCGGUAAUACGUAGGUGGCAAGCGUUGUCCGGAUUUAUUGGGCGUAAAGCGAGCGCAGGCGGUUUUUUAAGUCUGAUGUGAAAGCCUUCGGCUCAACCGAAGAAGUGCAUCGGAAACUGGGAAACUUGAGUGCAGAAGAGGACAGUGGAACUCCAUGUGUAGCGGUGAAAUGCGUAGAUAUAAGGAAGAACACCAGUGGCGAAGGCGGCUGUCUGGUCUGUAACUGACGCUGAGGCUCGAAAGUAUGGGUAGCAAACAGGAUUAGAUACCCUGGUAGUCCAUACCGUAAACGAUGAAUGCUAAGUGUUGGAGGGUUUCCGCCCUUCAGUGCUGCAGGAAACGCAUUAAGCAUUCCGCCUGGGGAGUACGGCCGCAAGGCUGAAACUCAAAGGAAUUGACGGGGGCCCGCACAAGCGGUGGAGCAUGUGGUUUAAUUCGAAGCUACGCGAAGAACCUUACCAGGUCUUGACAUACUAUGCAAAUCUAAGAGAUUAGACGUUCCCUUCGGGGACAUGGAUACAGGUGGUGCAUGGUUGUCGUCAGCUCGUGUCGUGAGAUGUUGGGUUAAGUCCCGCAACGAGCGCAACCCUUAUUAUCAGUUGCCAGCAUUAAGUUGGGCACUCUGGUGAGACUGCCGGUGACAAACCGGAGGAAGGUGGGGAUGACGUCAAAUCAUCAUGCCCCUUAUGACCUGGGCUACACACGUGCUACAAUGGAUGGUACAACGAGUUGCGAACUCGCGAGAGUAAGCUAAUCUCUUAAAGCCAUUCUCAGUUCGGAUUGUAGGCUGCAACUCGCCUACAUGAAGUCGGAAUCGCUAGUAAUCGCGGAUCAGCAUGCCGCGGUGAAUACGUUCCCGGGCCUUGUACACACCGCCCGUCACACCAUGAGAGUUUGUAACACCCAAAGUCGGUGGGGUAACCUUUUAGGAACCAGCCGCCUAAGGUGGGACAGAUGAUUAGGGUGAAGUCGUAACAAGGUAGCCGUAGGGAGAACGGCUAUAUAGGCUAGAUAGAUCGAUAG